rnacentral:misc_RNA from 1 species
AAAAAAUAUAGUUUUAAAAGUAAUUAAUAAUACGAAUCUAUAAUGGAACACGCAUAUUUUAACAUAAUUAUUUUAUUUCAAAAACCAAUUUUUCGAUAUUUUCUUUAAUAGUUAACGAUCCCAGAUAAACUUUUGUUACCAAAUGCUAUUCGUACAUAAUGGUUGUGGAAUUAAUCGAGGAAUAAGAUAGUGACAGUGGGCGUGAUAGAUAUAAGAUAGUGAUGAAGAGACGAAGACCGAGGGACCUUAAACUGUAGCUGCUAAACAUACCCCAUUGACCUGGUCGGGGUCCAGAACGUGUCCACAUAACUGUAAGUAAUAAAGCGCACCAAUGGGGUCGGUCCGAGGCGCGCGCCCGCCCUCGCACACCGCCUACUACGUGGCGCUGGCCGGGGUCUUCGUGUUGCUGCUACUGCUGUGCUGCUAUUUUCUGUACUUUUGUAUACGCAGAGUUAAAGGUACUCACUAACGAAUGUAUCAAUGUAGACCGGUAUAUUAUAUAAGGGAGUUAGUUGGUUAAUUUAUCACCCACAGACGAAGUAGCUUUAUUUAGAAAUCAAAGAAGUAUUCUUUUGUUUUUGUGACAAGACAAAAAAAAAGUACUUUUAAAAUUAACUUUCCCGCCCCAAAUGAAGGAUGAAUUAGCUGCAAAUUUUUCUUAUAAUUUGUAUAUCCUUGUAUAUCCUUAUAAAUUAAUAUGUGUUAACUGACUAAUUUCUACAAUUUAAAAACAAAAAUGAGAAUUUAUUUUACAAACUCAACAAAGUGUUAUUAUUAAUGUCUGACUCGAACAGCAAUGGAAAUCUUUCUUAAUUUAACUUUUGUGCCAACUGUAUUAUAUGAUAUUACUUUUACGAGCUUUUUGGAAGCUUCUGCACAUUGUCCGAUUUUGAAUACCACUGCCUUCCGACUUCUAUAUAAGCCAAAAUGUUUAAGACAAUUUAUUUUCUUUCUUGCUAUUCUUCAGCCUGUAAUAUCCCACUGUUGGGCAUAGGCCUCUUUCCCCAUGUAGGAGAAGGAUCAGAGCUUAAUCCACCACGCUGCUCCAAUGCGGGUUGGCGGAUAUAUUCCCUACUAUGAGUAACGAUCGCUAUCAGGCUUACAUCGAUUUCUUUCUGGGUUGGACUUUAAUUGCUAAUACAAAUAAAGGUCCUAUAACUUUAUAGCCAUUAUACAGUAACGUGUAUGGCCUGGCUCCACAGAGCUGGCGACGCAGCCCCUACCGGAGCCUGUGAAGUCAGUGCGGCCUCCGCCCCCGCCGCCUGCUCCUGCCGCCUACCCCGUGCAGCCAGGUGUCCGGGAAAGCGCCACGGCGAUGGCCCGCCUCUGCCAGGUGCCUGCAACGCACACGGAUAUCGUGUUCCCAGCCGCGCGAUCUGGUUCUCUGCCCGCGCCUAAGAUUAUUUCCCGUCCACACUCGCCCAUUGGUACACCCAGGUUACUCUCCCAUCCUCACUCACCCACGAGUCCGUCCCGAGUGCUCUCCCGUCCACACUCACCCACCAGUCCAGCACGGGUUCUCUACCAGCCACACUCGCCAACAACCACCCCCUUGGCACUGUCCCGUGCACAGUCCCCUACUAGUACACCCAGGGUUUUGUCCCGGGCCCACUCACCCACUAGUACACCCAGGGUAUUCCACUACUAUACAUACUCGCCAGCAAAUACAUCCAAGAUUUCCCGCCCACGCUCCCCCGCGCGACAAGCAGCGCCCAUCCAGAUCAAAGUGCAAGAGGUCGACUAAUUGUCAUCCCAUUCAAAUGUAAAUGAGCAUCAAACCUUAACUUGUUUCUAAUUUUGUACAACUGCGUUACCGAGGAUUUAUUUAUAAUUAAAUAUUUUUAUUGCAUAUAAGUGGACAUUGUCAAACUUUGGAAAACACUAUAUGAUAAUAAUUUUAUAACAAGUAACUCUGUAUAUUGUUAUAU